rnacentral:lncRNA from 1 species
UUUAUCUCUAUAAUCGUGCGAUAAUUAUCUGUAACUCUAAUGUAGUAGCUUUAUUAUGGCCGCUACCUAAUUAUAACGUGGUGUACUCAGUUAAUCAAUUAAAGUCUACUAAUUAAGGGAUAUGUGCCUUGGAGUGGGACACACUCACCUCUAUAUUUAUUUAGUUAUCCCAUCUUUAAUCACGCGAUGCUUUUAUGUUCCAUUAUCCAAUUAUCAAUUAUUAUUUGACAAUAAUGCAAAAUUAAUGUUCUUCAAGAAGCAUCUUUUCGAUUGAUUUUGUUCAUGUCUAAGAAACUACAGUAACCUGCUACAGUGAAAUUUUUCCUAAAUUUUUAGUUUGACCUCAAAACUUUAUAAAACUGUAGUAUGGCCCAAAACGUUAUGAAACUUUGCAAAUAGGUCCAAUUUCAGAAUUUCUAAAUAAUGCUUCGUUAAUCCCAAAAAUUUUUAAAAUUAUGAUUUUGCCCAAAUUUUGUGAAAUUAUAGAAUGAUCCAAAAACAUUUAAAUAGUUUCAAAUAGGUCCAAAUCUGAAAUUUAAAAUACUAUCAAAGAUUUUAAAAUUACUUUCAUUUUAGUCCAAAAUGCUUUAAUUCCAUAACAUCAUUUUCUUAUUAUAAAAGUACAAUUUAUAAAUCUUUACUUAAUAAAUACAUGUGGUUUGUUAUCAUCAAAAUCAAUAUUUAUAGCCAUAUAGACUAACAAUCUCCCCCUUUUUGAUGAUGACAAAGCACAUUCAAAUUUAAUCUAGUUAUGAAAAGCUCCCCCUUAAUCAAUGCAAGUUAAAAAAUGAUUUGAAAAUUAUUUAACAAAAACUCCCCCUCCAUACAUGCUCCUCCUAGAUACAUGCAUAUUUUCAUAACACAUAUUAAAUCAUUCUCCCCCUUCAUCAUAAAAAAUAAUAAAGGCUCCCCCUAUCAAUCAUCAAAAUCGCAACAUAAGCACAUUAGUAAAAAAAAAUAUCCAUAAGCAUAAGAAAAUCCAUAUAAUCCAUAAUGAUCAAUCAAAACAAAUCCAUAACAUCCAACAUAAAUAGUCACAACAAAUCCAUAUCAUCCAAAACAAAUGCAUAAACCGAAAAACAUAAUAACCAUCCAUAGAGUCGAAAAUAAAAGAACACACAAUGCAGUAAAUGAAAUGUAGGUGUGUCCAAGUACAAGCAUAAGAUACUACUCAGGUGGUGAGGAUGGAGGUGAAGGAGGUGAAAACGGAUAUGGAAUGCCGAAGUGCUCGAAGAUGAGGAGCUGUCCAUGAAUGAGCUGUUGCUGCAGCUGCCGUUGCUGCUGCUGCUCCUGCUGAAGCUCAGUCUGCCGCACCGAAAGCGUCCGCACCUCAUCCAUAAGCUGCUGAAGAGUAACAUCUCCAGAGAUAGGAGGCCGUGGAGGUGAUGAAACGGAUGCAGAUGCACUAGGAGCCGAAGCAACCAUAGAAGAAACUCGGCGUCUACGCUGCCCUCGAAAAGAGAGUGAGAAUACUGGAAGCUGAUCGGCUGGAAUCACAGCAUUAAGUGGUCGAUCAUCACUUGGGGCUAGAAAGGUAAACUUGUUAUCGCUGUAUUUGACCCAAGUGCCAUCCUUCCACUCAAAGCCUAAUCCAACAAUAACCUCAUCCCCAAUACCCUUGGACGGCCUACAAGAUGGUUCUAGAAUCGGCACUUUAAAGAAUUUAAGAAUUCGGGUAAUGAAGUGACCAUAAGGAAGAGAGCGGGUAAUCAAGGCAGGAAUGCUCAACAUGGUGUAGAUGAUUGAAUAGCCCAAGUCAACCGGGCGACCUCUGAGAAUACAGUCAAUCAUGGCCACAUCCAUGUGAGAAACCUCAUCCAAAUGUCCUGAUCUAGGAAGUACAAUGGACUGGAUGAUACGAAGCAAAAAAUGAGUUUGAAGACAAAGACACUGAGUACGGAAAUGAAUGGUACAGUCUUCAACAGAAAGAUCACUCCGCCGACAAAUAUUACGAACGACAUCAACAUGAACAUAGUCAUCAAUAUCAGGAGGUUUCCUAAGAGAAAAAAUGUCCAGGCCAUCAUCGGAAGAUCCUAGGAUGGAGUUCAACUCCGAAUCAUCAAAUUCAAUCAAAACUCCUCCAACUUUGGUGAUUACUCGAUUCUCUUUCUCCGCGGAACAAUCCAUAUUCGAGUAAAAUACUUUCACCAAGUCGGGAUACACAUUCUCCUCAAUCAACAAUGCAUCAAUCCAACCAACAUCUCCCAACAAUUGAAAUAGAUUUCUAUGACUAAUCUGGAGAGUAUGCAAAACAUCCGGUAAAAUAAAGAAAGUGUUGAGUACCUCACGAGUCCGAAAGUUUUUUUGGAACCUUUUGAUCAAGUGUUGCUUGUUCUGAAAAUGAAUGGACUCAAAGGUGGAUUGACUAGAGGUGCCCCUUGUUUCCUGUGGCUGUGUGGAUGGUUGAACCGGUUCUUUGCCUUUUCUUCGAACCGGCCGAGAGCUUGACAUUUAGAUUUGGUUGAUUUUGAGUUAAAAAGGAUAAGGAGAAUGAUGAUAAUGAAGAUUGAAAGUGAUUUGAAGAAACAAAUUGGAUCAAAAACGACUUGAGAGUGAGAAAUCUAGAGAGAGAAAAAUCAGCUCAAAACCUAGGUUGAAAUUCGGAUCUAGAGUUUUGGAUGUUGAAAAUGGAGUUUAAAGAUGGUUUUGAGUGAAUUAAGUGAUGGAGAUUAGAAUUUAUGGACUGAUUUGCAUAAAAAAAUGAGUAGAAAUGGUGGAUUUUGGAGUGAAAUCAAGAGAUGAGAAAUUGGCUUUUAGAGAGAGAACAAGAAACGGAAGACCGAAUGAGGAGAAGAUGAUGAACAGCUGAAAUAAACCACGAAUCCGGCUUGUCGGAUUUACUAACCGGCUUGCCGGAUUUACUAACCGGCUUGCCGAUUAAUGGGCAGUAACUCACAAUUCCACAAACGGCUUGCCGGUUAGCUCGGGAAACAGAAAAUCCAGAAAUCUGGUUCUUGGGCAGAGAGUUGAAAGCCGAAAACGGCUUUCCAAAUUUAGAAUCCGGUAGACCGGAUAUGGACCCGAGAGCAGCAAGAGGGAAUUCGGCUUGCCGGUUUCCUUAACCGGCUGGCCGGUUUCGAGAGCCUCCAAAAAUCUAGUUUUUCGGAUUGUCUUGAACCGGAAAUCCGGUUUUGUUCCAGCUAAUUUCCAAAGCGAAUUCGGCUUUCCGGUUUUGAUAACUGGUAGACCAGUUGUGAGGCAGAGAUGAAGCUUAGCAAAUCCGGUUUUUCGGAUUGAAAAUCUGGUUGUCCGAAUGUUGUCCCGAGAGCAACCAAAGAUAAUCCGAUUUUCCGGAUUGUGAAUCCGGUUAUCCGGAAUUUGUCCCGAGAGAGAUCAAUAAGAAAGAAUGUUUUUCCGGAUGAAUGGAAAGGAAAUAUUUGCUAGCUCUUAUACUUGUGCUACACACACCAUUUCAUUUUCGGUCUUAAAAAUUGAUUAAUUUUAAAUAAUUUUGAGAUUUAAAACUUUUCAAUAAGUCAUUUAAUGCAUGAAACACAAAAUCAUAAAAUCAUAAAUUUACAAGCAUAUCAAGUUAUCUAAUUCAUAAAGCAUAAAUUCAUAUGAUAACAAACAUAUCAAGCCAUGUAGUAAAACAUGAAUUAAGAUUCAACAUUCAUCAUUCCAAGCUCAUGUCUUAUCUUUAUAAAAUGUUCUUCGCUAAGAGGUUUUGUAAAGAUAUCCGCAAGUUGAUUUUCAGUAGAAACAAAUUUAAUUACGACAUCUUCUUUUUUAACAUGAUCUCUAAGGAAAUGAUGUCUAAUUUCUAUAUGCUUAGUCCUAGAAUGUUGAAUAGGAUUCUUGGAAAGAUUUAUAGCACUAGUAUUGUCACAUAAGAUAGGUAUUUGAUCAAGUUUAAUACCAUAGUCUCUAAGGGUUUGUUUCAUCCAAAGAAUUUGUGCACAACAACUACCUGCGGCAAUAUAUUCUGCUUCGGUGGUUGAAAGCGCAACCGAGUUUUGUUUCUUACUAAACCAAGAGACAAGAGAAUGGCCUAGGAAGUGACAUGUUCCACUAGUACUUUUUCUAUCAACCUUAUACCCAGCAAAAUCGGCAUCCGAAUAACAAGUUAGAUCAAUAUGAGUUCCUCUAGGAUACCAAAGGCCAAGAUUAAUAGUGCCAAUUAAAUAUCGAAAAAUGCGUUUGACAGCAAGCAUGUGAGACUCUUUAGGACAAGAUUGAAAUCUAGCACACAAGCAAAUACUAAACAUAAUAUCAGGCCUACUAGCAGUCAAGUAGAGUAAGGAUCCAAUCAUACAUCGAUAUGUCUUGAUAUCAACUUCCUUACCUUUCUCAUUUUUGUCCAGCUUGAUGGUAGUACUCAUAGGAGUGGUUUUUGCCGUUCCAUUAUCAUAACCAAAUCUUUUGAGUAGAUCUUUCACGUAUUUGGCUUGGUUUAUGAAAAUUCCUUCCUCGUUUUGUUUGAUUUGAAGUCCAAGAAAGUACUUCAACUCUCCCAUCAUAUUCAUCUCAAACUCUUGGCUUAUACAUGAUGAAAAAUAUUUACACAACAACUCAUUAGUAGAACUAAAAAUAAUAUCAUCAACAUAAAUUUGAACAAUAAGUAUGUCUUGAUUCUUAUGCUUAAUAAAAAGAGUUGUGUCCGCUUUUCCCAUCGAAAAAUCGUUAUCCAACAAGAAGUUUUUAAGCCUACCAUACCAAGCUCUAGGUGCUUGUUUUAAACCAUACAAAGCCUUGGAUAACUUAUACACAUGAUUUGGAAAUUUUUCAUUUUCAAAGCCAGGAGGUUGUUUCAUAUAAACUUCCUCCAUAAUAUAUCCAUUUAAGAAAGCACUAUUGACAUCCAUUUGAUAUAAAAUAAAAUCCUUAUGACAUGCAUAUGCUAACAACAUCCUAAUAGAUUCUAACCUUGCUACAGGUGCAAAAGUUUCAUCAAAGUCAAUUCAUUCUUCUUGGUUGUAACCUUGAGCCACUAAUCUAGCUUUAUUUCUUACAACCACACCGGAUUCAUCCAUUUUGUUUCUAAAUACCCAUUUAGUACCUAUAAUGGAUUAAUGUUCUGGAUUAGGAACUAACUCCCACACAUUGUUUCUCUCAAAUUGAUUCAACUCCUCUUGCAUUGCCAUAAUCCAAGAUUCAUCGUUUUCCGCAUCCGCAAAGGAUUUUGGUUCAAUUUGAGAAAUAAAUGCAGCAUGCUCACAUGUGUUUCUAAGGGAUGAUCGAGUGGUAACACCUCGUGAGGGAUCUCCUAAAAUUACAUCCUUAGGGUGAGAGGAUACAUACAUUCACUCCUUGGGGAGUGUUUGUGAAGUACCUUCAUUUUGCUCUGCAUUUGUUUCUUCAUGAUGUUCUUCUUGAAUUCCACGUGGAGCAUCUUCUUGGUUGUCAUUCGAUGCUUCUUCUUGUUGUUCUUCUUCUGCAUUAUCGUCAACAACAACUUUCUCCGUAGAGGAGGGGUUAGACUCAUCAAAUGUAACAUGCAUAGAUUCUUCCACAACUAAAGUUCUUUUAUUAUAAACUCUAUAAGCUUUGCUUGAAUUUGAAUAACCAAGAAAAAUGCCAACAUCAGAUUUUGGAUCAAAUUUACCAAGAUUAUCUUUUGUGUUCAAAACAAAACAUUUGCAUCCAAAAACUUUAAAAUAGCCAAUGUUGGGUUUUCUAUCUUUCUAAAGCUUAUAUGGAGUUUUAUUAAGAUUAGGUCUAAUCAACACCCGAUUUAAAACAUAACAAGCGGUGUUGACGGCUUCGGCCCAAAAAUACUUAGGCAAAGAGUUUUCAUUCAACAUGGUCCUAACCAUUUCUUGAAUAGACCUAUUCUUUCUCUCUACUACUCUAUUUUGUUGUGGAGUCCUAGGUAAUGAAAAAUGAUGUUCAAUGCCAAGGUCAUUACAAAAAUUUUCAAAUGCAUGAUUUUCAAAUUCUCCACCAUGAUCACUUCUAAUACAAGUAAUAGAAUAACCUUUUUCAUUUUGAACAUUUUUAUAGAUAAUUCGAAAUACAUCAAUGGCAUCAUCUUUAUUAGCUAAGAACAAUACCCAUGUGUAUCUAGAAUAAUCAUCCACAAUUACAAAUGCAUAAUAUUUGCCACUUAAACUAGCAUAUCUAGAAGGUCCAAAUAAAUCUAUAUGAAGCAAUUGAAGUGGUUUUGAAGUAGAGAUAUGAUUCUUGCUUUUGAAGGAAGUUUUGAUUUGUUUUCCAAAUUGGCAUGCUUCACAAAUUCUAUCUUUUUGAAAACUGAUUUUUGGAAGAUCUUUAACUAAAUCAUUUUUCACGAUUUUUGAAAUCAAAUCCAUGCUUGCAUGACCUAAUCUUCUAUGCCACAACUAGCCAUCAUCAUGCAAUGCGGAGAGACAUUUAUCAUGUAUUGAUGCACAAUCUAUAUUAAUGAUAUAGACAUUAACACAUCUAUUUCCUACAAACAAGACUUUCCCAUCACAUGCAUUCUCAAUAACACAUUUUGAUUCAUCAAAGAUAACUCUAUAUCCUUUAUCGCAUAAUUGACUAAUACUAAGCAAAUUGUAUUUCAAGUUUUCAACCAAACACACAUUUUCAAUGAGAGUAGAGGAUACAUUACCGAAAUUUCCAAUCCCUAUGAUUUUUCCUUUUGAAUUAUCUCCAAACGAUACAUCUCCACAAUUUUCGAUCUUAGUGAAACUUGAAAACCAAGAAUAAUUCCCUGUCAUGUGUCUUGAACAACCGUUGUCCAAGUACCACUUAUUCUUCUUCUUCUUCAAGCCCUGUAGAGAAAAUCUCAAGUUUUAGGUACCCAAACCUUUUUGGGUCCUUGAGAGUUAGCAAUGGUUCCUUUCGGAACCCAAACACAUUUCACACCAUAAUAUGCAUUUCUCUUCACCUCACAUCUAUUUUUCAUAUGACCAUCUUGAUUGCAAUAAUGACAUACAAUUUGAUUGUUAAUAGAUGUAUUCUUCACAAAAUAACUCUUGUAAAAUUUUUGUUUCAAAUUUGGUUUAUAACCUAUGCCACUUUUGUCAAAUACACAUUUUUGUGAGUUUAGCAAAUUGUCCAAUAUCUUUUGCCAAUUUGUGAACUUUAGCACAAUUUCAUUUAGUUCAUUACUCUUCUUUUUAAGCAUUUCAUUCUCAUUUUUCAAGUCAUUCGUGUGUGACUCUAAGUGUUCAUGUGAAGUGCUAGAAUUCUCAAAUGAUGCAAUAUUCUCAUGCAAUGUUUUAUUUUCUAAUUCUAGGCAUGUAAUCUUUGCACUAAAUGAAUCAUUUUCAUUCUUAAGCUCUAUCAUCUUCUUUUUAAGACAUAUAUUCUUUUUACCAAUCUUCAUUAGCUCAUCAUGCAAAUCCUUAAAAGCAUCAUGCAAUUCAUCAUAUGUAGGAAGAACACUUACCUCAUCAAGUUCAUCACAUGAUUCUUCCCCAACGGCCAUGAGAGCUAAGUUUGUCAUUUCUUGUUGGUCAUCAUCAUCACUUGUUUCCUCAUAGCUAUCAUCCCAUGUGGCCACCAUAGCUUUCUUCUUGAGUUUGUUGAGAAGAGGACAUUCCGGUCGUAUGUGUCCGGGCUUCUUGCAUUCAUAGCAAGUGAUUGACUCAUUCUUCUCCUUCUUAUUCUUGUAGCCUCUAAACUUUCUCUGCUCAUUAUUCUUCUUGUAAAAUUUUCUGAAUCUUCUAGCCAACAUAGCCAACUCCUCAUCAUCCAUUUCGCUUUCCUCAUCACUCUCACGUUUUGAAGCCUUGAGAGCAAUGUUUUUCUUCUUUUCCUCAUGCCCUUUUUCAGCUGCCAAAUCUUCUUCAUAUGAAAUGAGAGAACCAAUUAAAUCAUCAAUAGGUAAUACAUUUAAAUCCUUGGUUUCCUCAAUGGCAGUCCUUUUUGGUCUUCAUUCCUUAGGUAGUGACCUAAUGAUUUUCUUGACUUUUUCGCUAUUUGAAAAAGUCUUCCCUAGGGCUCCUAGAGUGUUCACUAUGUCCGUAAAUCUAGUAUACAUAGAGUAAACAUUUUCAUUUUAUUCCAUUUGGAACAAUUCAUAUUGUCGAGUGUACCUACUUAUUUUAGAUUCUUUCACUUGGUUUGUGCCUUCAUAGACAACUUCAAGUUUGUGCCAAAUCUCAUUAGCACUUUUGCAGCUAGACACUAUAUGAAACUCUUUCUUAUCUAGAGCACAAAACAAGGCAUUCAUGGCCUUGGAAUUUAGAGAAGCUUUACUCUUUUCGAAUUCAUUCUAAUCCCGUGAAGGUUUUGGAAUAUCUUCUCCGACUUCAUUUUUAGUCAAAGGCAUGAAAGGACCAUCAUUAACGAUUUCCCAAAUCUCAUAAUCUAAGGCUUGCAAGUAAAUUCUCAUCCUAAUUUUCCAAUAUGGGUAAUCGUUUCCAUCAAAGUAAAGUGGUCUAGUGGUGGACUGCCCUUCCCUAAAUGUGGAAUCAUUUUGAGUUGUUAUUGAUCUUUAACUCUAGAUGGUUAAAUCUAAAUAAGAGCACCUUGCUCUGAUACCAAAUGAAAUAUAAGAGUGCAACCCAAGAGGGGGGGUGAAUUGGAAAUUUAAAAAUUAACCUAGCAAAUCCACACAACAAGCAAUCUAAUGCCUUAAUAAAAAUUGAAAGCAAUAAGUUUAAUAAAGGCACAAUAAUUAAAGAGUAAGGGAGAAGAGAAACAAACACACGAAUUUUUACGUGGUUCGGCAAUCCCCUCCUACGUCCACGCCUCCAAGCAAUCCAAGCUUGAGGAUUUCACUAUCCAAGCCUUUCCGAGGCUUCAACCGAUUACAAUUGACUUCGAAGUAUCAAUAAACCUUUACAACAAAUAGAUUAUCUCAAAAUCUCUUCACUCAAGUGUCUCACACACUCAAACUGUUACAAUUGAAAUGAAGAAAUGAAAGUUACAAUGAAACUCACUCAAUGAGUAGAUAUUAAAAAAAAUGAAGAACAAGGAAUGAUUCAAUGUUUUGUGUUUUGCAAGUUGAAAGCUCAAGAUAUCACGUGUGCCUUUUGUUUUUGCUUGUUGGAGAGAUUCAAAAUGAGUUGGAUUUGAGUUCUUAUAGUUUGAGCUCAAAAACUAGUCGUUACUCACAUUCCAGGCGUAUCCGGUUUGCCGUUUAUGAAAUCCGAUAAGCCGAAUUUAUGUUACCGUUAAGGCAAAAAUUUAAAUUUUGCCUAUCCGGCUUGCCGGUUACGAAAUUCGGUAAGCCGUUUUCGUUCUGGAUGCUUACUGCCCGUAUCCGGAUUUCUGAUUUUCAGAAUCCGGAUAGCCGCUUGCUACAGUAACCUGCUACAGUGAAAAUUUUCCCAAAUUUUCGGUUUGACCCCAAAACUUUAUAACAUUGUAGUAUGGCCCAAAACGUUAUGAAACUUUACAAAUAGGUCCAAUUUCAGAAUUUCUAAGUAAUGCUUCGUUAAUCCCAAAACUUUUUGAAAUUAUGAUUUCGCCCAAACUUUGUGAAAUUAUAGAAUGACCUAAAAAUAUUUAAAUAAUUUCAAAUAGGUCCAAAUCCGAAAUUUAAAAUACUAUCAAAGAUUUUAAAAUUACUUUCAUUUUAGUCCAAAAUGCUUUAAUUCCAUAACAUCAUUUUCUUAUUAUAAAAGCACAAUUCAUAAAUAUUUACUUAAUAAAUACAUGUGGUUUGUUAUCAUCAAAAUCAAUAUUUAUAGCCAUAUAGGCUAACAAAACCUUCAUUUGAUAGUUGGCAAGGCUCGUUGGCCAACUCUCGUAACACGUGCUAAUAGAAGUUCAUUAUCAGUAUAUUUUUUCAGAGAAUUCACUUGAAAUGCUUCAUGAUCAUGAAUACCAAUUAAUAAUAA